rnacentral:rRNA from 1 species
GCGUAAUUUUUUUUGAGAGUUCAAAUCGAUAAAAAAGGUUGCGACCUCGAUGUUGGAUUAAAAUUUAUUUUUGGUGUAGAAGCUAAAAUAUUAGGUCUGUUCGACCUUUAAAAUUUUACAUGAUCUGAGUUUAAACCGGUGUAAGCCAGGUUGGUUUCUAUCUUUAUAAAUAUUAAAAUAGCUUAGUACGAAAGGACCAGUUAUUUAAUUAAAAAUUUUAUAUAUUGAAUAAUAUUAA